rfam:Brachypodium distachyon strain Bd21 chromosome 1, whole genome shotgun sequence.
AGCUGCGUGGUGAGCACAUAGCGAAUUAUUCUUUCGCCUUUUACUAAAGAAUACCGUGAGCUCGCCACAUCAAGCAGCAUACACCAAUUUUUUUUAGGGUUCCUUCUCCUUGUAAGGAU